UUUUGGUACUGAAGAUUGCUGAG
rnacentral:piRNA from 1 species